AGCUCCAAUAUUGUAUAUUAAAGUUGUUGCAGUAAAAAAGAUUGGAGUUGGAUUCGUGGUAUGUCCAUUCGGCCUUUGCUCGUUGAGUGAUAUUGCUGUUACUGGUCUACCAUGUUUUGGUGAAAUCUGUGUGGCAUUAAGUUGUCGUGCAGGGGAUGCCCAUCGUUUACUAUGAAAAAAAGAGUGUUCAAAAAAGGCUUAUGCCUCUGAAUAUAUUAGCAUGGAAUAAUGAUAUAGGGCCGUGGUACUAUUUGUUGAUUUGCGCACUGAGGUAAUGAUUAAGAGGGACAGUUGGGGGUAUUUGUAUUCCAUUGUCAAAGGUGAAAUUCGUGGAUUUUUGGAAGACAAACUACUGAGAAAGCAUUUAUCAAGGUUGUUUUCA
rnacentral:rRNA from 1 species